GACGUAGGGCGCGAGCGUUGUCCGGAUUUAUUGGGCGUAAAGAGCUCGUAGGCGGCUUGUCGCGUCGACUGUGAAAACCCGAGGCUCAACUUCGGGCUUGCAGUCGAUACGGGCAGGCUAGAGUUCGGUAGGGGAGACUGGAAUUCCUGGUGCAGCGGUGAAAUGCGCAGAUAUCAGGAGGAACACCGAUGGCGAAGGCAGGUCUCUGGGCCGAUACUGACGCUGAGGAGCGAAAGCGUGGGGAGCGAACAGG
rnacentral:rRNA from 1 species